rnacentral:RNase_P_RNA from 1 species
GGAGUCGGCCGGACAGUCGCUAUCGCGGGUGCUCGAAUUUUCCGUGAUGGGAGUUCGGGGCCGCGAUGGAGGAAAGUCCGGGCUCCGCAGGGCAGAGUGCCAGGUAACGCCUGGGGGGCGUGAGCCCACGGAAAGUGCCGCAGAAAAUAUACCGCCUAAGCAGUUCGCUGCCGGUAAGGGUGAAAUGGUGCGGUAAGAGCGCACCGCGCAGCUGGCAACAGGUGUGGCAGGGUAAACCCCACUCGGAGCAAGACCAAAUAGGAAUCCCAUGGUGCGGCCCGUACCGGAUUCGGGUAGGUCGCUUGAGGUGUGUGGUGACACACAUCCCAGAUGAAUGACUGUUCUUGACAGAACCCGGCUUACAGGCCGACUCCUUUU